AGACCAAUCUAUAGAUAUAUGGAAAAGUAUUAUUAACUUCUUCUUGAAUUUUUUUUUUCCUCUCUCAGCUUUUGCCUUCAUCAGAGCUCCCGUGGAUCACUCUGACCACUCUUACCGUUGUUCACUCCGGCUGCGACAUCACUUCGGCUGCUCGACAUCCUUCUCGGAAUUCUGAUUGAAGCCUAAUGGAUAAGCCGACUGAUCCUCCAAAGCGCCCAAUCACUCCAUUCAUUUUCUUUUGCCAAGAACAAUCAAUGGAGUUAAAAAAAACCCAAAUGAAAGUAGACGUGAAGGAUAUUGGGGACAAAUGGAAUCAACUUCCUG